ensembl:lncRNA
UAAGGCGUAGGAGCCUCGGGGAGGGUGAGCCAAGAGGGACGUGGCGCUCUGCGGCGCGGACUAGGAAGCCGCGCCCCUUCCUUCUCGGGCUUUCAUGGAGAAUCCUGUGGAGCAGGAUUUGGGUGGGUGAGGUGCUUACCCGCGACCGGGACAAAAAAACAGGUGUCUCCUCGCCCUCGGCCGCCGGUGCGCGCUGGCAGCGCCCAUACUGGUCAGGCGGUCAGGCGAUUUUCGCCCGCAGGCCUCCUUUGGGUCUAAUACCCCGGGCCUCCUCCUUGGCGGGAAUCUUACCUGUAUUUAACUAAGACAUCUGCUCCACACCCAUCAUUUUAAAGAUGGGGGAACUGAUCCUCAAAGAUACUCGUGGCUCGAGGAUUAGAGAAACUUUUGGAGCCUCAAGGCUGGUUUCGACUGAGUCUGCUAAGUAAAACUCCAAACUUGGGGCUUUGGCACUAAUGGAAAAUCUCCUGAUGGGGAGAAGGACGAAGAACACACUACUGCACUGUUCAAGGAAGAAAACAAGGCUUUGGAGUCAAAACUAGGUCCCAACCCUGCCUAAAUUAAAAACCCGGUUCUAUCUUUAUUAGUUGAGUGUCCUCUGCCAAGUAACUUAACCUUUGUCCAUAGCAUAGCUUCCUUAUUUAUAACAUGGAGGCAAUAAUAGUUCCCACUUCAUAAACAUGUGAGGAUUAAAUGAGUUCAUAUUUGUAAAGCAAAGAGGUUCUUGGCACAUAGUAAGCCCAUAGUCCAUAUAUUAAUGUUGGAUAA